rnacentral:rRNA from 1 species
CCUACGGGAGGCAGCAGUGGGGAAUAUUGCACAAUGGGGGAAACCCUGAUGCAGCGAUGCCGCGUGGAGGAAGAAGGUUUUCGGAUUGUAAACUCCUUUUUUCAGGGACGAUAAUGACGGUACCUGAAGAAAAAGCUCCGGCUAACUACGUGCCAGCAGCCGUGGGAAUACGUAGGGAGCGAGCGUUGUCCGGAUUUACUGGGUGUAAAGGGAGCGUAGGCGGGAUGGCAAGUCAGAUGUGAAAGCUGGGGGCUCAACCUUCAGACUGCAUUUGAAACUGGUGUUCUUGAGUGAAGUAGAGGUAAGCGGAAUUCGUAGUGUAGCGGUGAAAUGCGUAGAUAUUAGGAGGAACAUCGAUGGCGAAGGCAGCUUACUGGGCUGUUACUGACGCUGAGGCUCGAAAGCGUGGGGAGCAAACAGGAUUAGAUACCCCAGUAGUC